AACAAAAAUGAGCAAGGCGAUUUAGGUCCAAUUAUCCCUACCCAAUUUGAAGACAUAACAUUAAACCGCAAAAUCAAACAGAUCUCAUUGAGCAAAUUUCUUCAAUGGCUUCGUCAGGGAAAUCGAUGAUCCAAACCCUAAAACGGUUCAUGAAGAAGCCAUGGGAGUUCACCGGACCUCAAACAAGCCCCGAGUAUUUAGACUCUAUACCCAAGGCAGCGGAGUACAGAAUCUUCUGUCCUGCCACUACCCAAUCUCAGGCCAUCAUCCCCACAUCCGAUCCUGAAACCGUCUUCGAUAUCAAGUAUUAUUCUCGUGACCAGAGGCGUAACCGUCCUCCAAUCAAGCGCACUUUCCUCACCAAAGCUGAUGUUGAGAAGAUGAGGAUGGAGUACAAAUUUGAUGUCAACGAUUUUCCUAAGCCUUAUUUGACUGCUAAGGUUGAAGAGGAUGAAAAUGCUAUUGGU
rnacentral:misc_RNA from 1 species